AUUUUCAGAGUAAUUUAAUUAGGUGAUCUUGAUGGUUGAAAUCUCCUUGUUAGGAUAUUAUGCAAUUUGGAGUGAGUAUUACUCUUGCAUUUUAGAGAUUUGGGUGGGAAGGUUUUGUGUCAUUGAAUUUGGCUCCUGGCUGUAAUGUCGCAGCAUCCAGAGGUCAUCUGGUGAGUUACUGGGGUCAAUUUUUGGGUUAGCAGCAUAUCUAUGUUCAGAGCAUGUCUGCCUCUGAUUUGGCUGUUUCCUUGCUGAGGGUCCAGCAACAUGGCUGCCUUCACUAACAGCCCACUAGGGAUUCUUGGGGAAAUUGUUUCUUUUAAGAAUUUGAGCCCAAAAUGAUUCAAGACUGAUAUUUUUUGUUUAAUUUAAAUCUUGUACAUUGGGUGAGAGGAGUAUCACUAACAACCUUCCGAAGACUUGCUUUCAGAGUAGUGGUAUUCCCGCUUCUGUUUGGUUGCCUGUUCCACUAAAUUUAGGUCCAAGAGCUGUACAUAAUUUGCCUAUAUUGAGUGGUAAGCCUGAAUGUCGGUAACUCCAUAUCUGGUCAUCAUGCAAUGUGGAGUGACCAUUUGCAUUUGCAUUGUCGAGCUAAAACUAUUGAGUGGCAAGGUUUUUUUAGUUGACAUUUCUUUGUUUUGGGCUUUUGGCUUGCUGCCAUAUUGUAGUGUCAAAAGAUCACUGGGCAGUUUUUAGGUUGAUCAUUAGGGCAGGUCUACUUCUUGAUUGGGCUGUGCUAAGGAUCCAGUGUAACAUGGUGUCAUAGUAUAGCUAUUAUCUCCACACUACCAGCCCACUUGUAACACUUGGUGAAAUUGUUUUGAGAAUCUUUUGACCAUAAUGAUUCUGGAGCUGGGGGCAAAGUAUCUAGCUAGACUUUAUAGUAGUUUGUGAUCAUAUCCCAAAGAUCUGAUAAUCUGAUACACAAUCCCUUUAGUCCAACAUGUGUAGGGUGCUUAACAUGUAACAACCAGACAUGUCGUCAUCAGUUGUUUGCGCAUAUAUUAGUGGUUUGCAUAUAAGAUUUAGGGCUUAAUUAGAAAGGCUAGCUGCAGCCAUGCUUGACAAUGAUUGACCAAAUAAAGCGUCCGCGCUUUAUCAUGCGGAUGCCCUGUUGGCUGGUGCUUGCAGCGCUGGGAAUCGUUGUCGCAUGUACGCCGCUGGUCGAAAUAAUUCUGCAUGAUUUUCUAUCCAGUUGGAUGCUUGAUUUGAAUUGAUCAAGGAGAUCGUCUGCACUCGCUGUCUGGAUUUCUGUGGUAUUAUUCUUUUUUUGUGCAAAGCUGUUGAACAGGGAUUCGGAGUGUUGAAGGGUUUGGACUGUUUUGAUCGCUGCUCCUAACUCCUUCAGAGUUGGUUUCAGUUGCUGAAACUGCUGUGCAUGAUUUCAACUUUCAAGUAACGAGAAACUCUUAUCUUUUGGUGAAUGAUUCAAUCAAGUUGGAUGGUUGGUUUGCAUAUAUCUUACUGGAUGUGCAGACUAGUUUUUGGGAGAGAUGCUGCUCAACAUAAUGCUAUGUGUUGGACCACUUAACCACUAGUUUACCACUACUACUGUGUGCCUGUGUGGGUAGGCUUAGUUUAUCUUGGAUGCUGGGCUUGGAUAGUUCAUCUUAUUGGUAGGCCAUGCUUUGGUACUCAUGUUUGCACAUGUUACCAAACAUACAUGUACUGCUGACUGCUGAGGUGAGGUCAAAGUCGAUGCAUCGAGAUGCCAUCUACUGCUCAGUUUCAGAUGUGGUCUGAUGGAGAAAAUUGAGUUUAACUGAAAACGUACUCGCAUGUUCUGGUCAAACCCAGGCAAGAAUUCCCUGAUGCUGCCAAGUGCCAGGAUAAACAAGGACAUUGCUGGUACACUUGCCGUGGUAUUGAAUUGAGCACGCCAUUUGUUUAUGGAAUAAACAAGAGAUCGCCGGACAUGUUGCCAUGGCGCCGUCUGAUCGGACAGUUCAUCGCCGGGCAUUUUUUAUGGCUGGAUCCAACAGCUUCCCAGCAUGCAAAUCUGCAUAAAUGUACAUGCUCAUUCAGACAGUUGCGUGUCCACAGCAUCUCGCAAAGUCUCAUCGGCUUACAUCUCUUCUGCCUCCAGUGCUAGUCAUCUCUCUUCCUGUUCCUCCUGCUCGCGUUUCUUCUUCUUCUUCUUCUUCUUCUUGUUGCCAUGGCCAGCCUCGUGCACCAGGCGUCCAUGCCGGCGAGGGCGAUGCCGGCGUGCGACGAGGAGCUCGUCCCGCAGGGCUUCAGCUGCUUCGGGCGCUCGCUGUCUCGGGCGUCGUCGUCGAGCCGGCUCGAGUACAGGGCGCUGCAGCAGCAGCAGCAGCAGGAGCAGGGCGAGGAGAGGUGCGCCGCGCAGGACGCGUGGUCGGCGCGCGCCAAGCUGCGGUGGAAGGCCGUGGCGCACGAGAUCAUGGCGAAAGGCGGUGGCGGCGGCGCGCGGCGGAGGAAGCAGCAGCUCGCGGCGUUCAGCUACGACUCCAGGAGCUACGCGCUCAACUUCGACCAGGGCGCCGCCGAGUAGCAGCUGCAGCAGCGUGUCUGCACGCGGCCGGCCGACCCGGCGAAUGGUGCGGGUCGGCAGAGCCUGAAACAGCACGGUGGCGUGUGCGUGGGUUCGUGCACGGCGACAGGUCGGCGAGGGAGCAGGCGGCUGUUGAUGAUGCCGUCCGCUGCGGAGGUGGAGGACGGCAGGACGCGAUCGUGGCGCUGCGCAAGGAGGGCGACAUGCCGUCGAACAUCGCGGCACGGUGCUCCGCGUCCUCCUCUGGUGCUUAACGUUUCUGCAGUGUUGAGAAAUGCAGUGGGGAUCACCGUAGCAGGCUGUGAGGAGUGAAAUAGCUAUUGCUAGCUGUUGUGGGAACGUUGCAAGGAAAAUUGUUUGCAAAUUUUGUUUAGAGUUUGUGACAUCACUGUUUUUUCCCCCCAUUUAGGAGUGAAAUAAACCAUCCGGGAAUUGUUGUCGCAUGUACGCUGCCGGUUUGCCUUAAUGCUGCAUGAUUUUCAAUCCAGUUGGAUGCUUGAUCUGAAUGGAUUGCAGGUAUCUCUGCACUCUUGCUGUUUGGAUUGGUUUGUGAUUCUCUUGGCUCAAAUCUGUUCAGCUGGCAUUAGAUGUGUUGCAGUUUUUGGCUGCUCUGAUCAUUGGUCUGUCUUCUUUAGGUGGUUCCUCAAUUCCGCAGGAAAACUUAUUUAAGUUUCCGACUGCAGCGCAUCAAUCUACCAAUGCUUGAGGGCGAAAAACCGCGCAAGCGCACAUGGUUAAAUAGGACAGCAAAUAUCAAACAAAUAAAUUAUUUGGCGUGCAUAUGCUUAAUGGCACGAUAUAAUAAACCGCCAUAACAUUUUACCAUUACAACUGUUUUCCUUUGCAAAUGAGUGCUGAAAAUCCUUUGAAGAAAAGAUACAGCUCCGAAACUGGAGUGCACCAAAGUACCAGACACAAUCCUUGAACUCAGACAAGUUCGGUGCCGUCGCCCUGGAUGCAGAAGCGGAGACAGUCCACAGCAGUACGCGGGCCUAACGGACGGUAGUGCCAAGGUUCUUUGCUUCCAUCUGUAACAUUGUACCCCCGGGUCUCCCCGUCACUAUCAACCCCAAGAUAGAUGGUGUUAGGAGUGACAGGGGCAAAGGCAUCUUCUCGAUCUCGAUCAUAUUCACAGUAUAGCAUUCUUCCUCCCCCGUCACUGGAUCAUGCUCGACGAGGUCCGCGCGCGCUCCCGCCGCCACCGCUUCCUUAACGUCUCCACCGGUGAGUACAUCAGGAUGGACAAUCCCGGAGCUCGACGACCACAGGUUGCUCACGCUCACCCCCGAGGGCCUCCUCCUGCUGCUCCACGAAGCCACCCUGGUCGUCCGCCUGCUUAAUCCGCUCACACACCAGUUCACCGACUUUCCCCGGUUGACCGAGCUCCUGCAAGCUAGGGGCUAUGAGUCGGCACGAAGUCUUCAGGUGUAUGGUGCUGGCCUUGUUGCCGAUGCCUCCACAGUGGCAGUAUGUUUCUCUUGUCCCAUGGUGCUUGCUGUUGCUAAGCCCGGCGGCAAGAGCUGGACCGUGAUCAACGACGACUACAUGAAUUCGGUCUUGCCUUUUGCGGGGCGUUUCUACUGUGCCACCUACAGGGGUGUCAUGGUGGUGAAUAUCACUUCAGAUCAGCAGCCGCCAAUGCUGCUGAUGGUCGCUGAACUGAGCGAGUCAUUUUAUUUCUCCAAAAUGGCGCACAGCUUUCACCUGGUGGACAAUGGUGGGGAGUUGAUGCUGGUGCACCGAUGUCUGGACAGCAACUAUAAGAGAAAGUAUGAUGUUUAUAGAGUGGAUUUGGAAGCUGGACUCCUGAUGCCGGUCAAGAGCUUCAACGGGUGUGCCGUGUUCAUGGGCAUGAGCCGCACAAUCUCUGUAUCAGCAGGGGCCUUUCCCUCUAUCACUGCUGACAUAAUCUAACUGGCGUGCGAAUGUGAUAGGAAAAUUCUGGGGUACAAUAUUGCAGAUGGAAGCAGAGUACCUUGCCAAUGCGGUCCAAUUCCUGAUGGGUGGGUAUGCCCGGAUAGCAUUAUCGACUGCCUGUGCAACUGCAUCCAGGGCAUCGGCGACCGACUUGCCUGAGCUCACGUAUAUUGCUGUGUUUGCUGCGAAUCUGGAUCUCGAGCUGCAUUCCUUUAAGCUGUACCUGGUUUUGUCGUGCCUUUGAGCAUAGAGCUUUUUUGGGGGUACAAAUAUAAUUUUGCGGCACCUAUUCCCAACAUUUGUACCUCAACAAAUAAUGUAUCAACGCAUAUUUAUAUUUGGUACAAGCAUUUAGCAUGUGUACUUGCCUUAGUUCCAACUGCUCGAGCACGCCCCGUUUAGCUUAUUUGAAGGAACUGCGAACAACUUGAUUGCCUGAAUCUAUUUGCACGAUCAUUGACGCUUGAUCGGCGGCCAAGGUGGUGCAUUCCAGGCGGCACCCUUGGAGUUUCUGUACUCCAGCUAGCAUCUCCUCCUGGGGCGUGAUCUCCAUGUGCAUGUGCGACCUCGCCGGCUAAGCCAGGUCCUUCGAUUACUUCCGACAUGCACGAUGAUAUGCCUAGGCUUGUAAUACCUGCAAUACCACUGUGUGGCUGUGUUCCUGAGUCUUGAUGAUGCUUCAACUUGGCCCAGUUUGUUUAUCUACCCCAGUUUCAUGCUCCUGCCGGUAUUGAUUCUUCUAGAAAACCGACCGUAUUUGCCUUACAAAUGUAUUUGCAAACGGAACUUAGAGAAGUCGAAAACCUUAGCAGGCAGAAUCAACAAACUCAAGCUCGAGGUUACGCUGGCCAUAAAUAAAGAAGUAAAGAACGACCGGUACAGCAGACUCAACCCGUCAACCGGAUAUGCCCUCGACCUCGACGAAUAGGUUGAACCCAACAUAUCAUAGCUUCAACACUUACGGAGCGAAAAAUAGACACAGCUCAAGCCAUUAAUAGUUGACAGGUGACAUUCUGUACAAAGUUUGCUUCAAACGAAAUCCCAAUUUUGCUCUCUGGAGGCUAAGAAGCACGAUGCUACGAGAAAAAGGAGCAUGGCAUAACACUAGUGAAGCAGAUGCAAGAUAGAUUUGGGACCAUCUUCAGUCUUCACCGAAUUCUAUCUGUAUUCUCCACAUACACCCAGCAAUUGAAAUCCACUCAUGUACAUUUACAGGCGGACAGAACUCACGUUUAUUAGUUAUUAUGUGUAGAACAAAAAAGAAGCCGAGUAAUCAACAGAAUAAUUUCUAUAGCACGCACUGUCUCCCGACGUAUCAAUUGGAGCUUACAAGGAAGGCAUGCUGGCACACUCCGCACUCCACUGUCUCUGAGCCAGAUGUUGGAACCUGAACCUGAAGUUCCACAGCCAAAUGGUACAAAUGCAUUAUAAUAGUUAAUUCGCCAUGUACCAAAAGCAAAAUUACUAGGAGCAUCUGUGAAUUUGUGUUAUGCACGGCCGACAGCUUACCUGAAGAUGGACUGUGCAGGUAGGGCAUGCAACUUCCCUCAUUCUGGUACCAGAUGCACCACCACCAGAUACGGGACCUUUUCAAGCCGAGAUUUCAGAAUUCUGAUGCACUGUAGUCCGUAAUUUGAACUUGUAAAAGGGAUGGCAAGCAAGAAGUACCUGAAGACUUGCGGUUUCGCUCCAUUUCCUCCUAAUGACAGCAUAAUUUCGUUAAAAUGAUUGAUAUCAUAAACAAAUUAUAAGACAUUUCAGCUCUAUGGUUCAUCUUUUUUCCCAUUGGACUUUGUGAAUAACCAAAAUGAUGCGCAAAAUUUCCUGAAGGCAACUUCAUGCCUUCAUGGGAUAAAGAUCCUUAUUCGAACUUUCCACAACUUCAUCUAGUUAUAGUUCUUGAAUCGAAGUAAUUGGAAGCAUGCAACUUAUAGCUUGCAGGUAGAUUAAAACAUCUGGUAAGCCUUUCAAUAUAAUGGCCGAGUUGCAACAGCAAUCUUACCAUCACUGGGGAAUAUUGAUGCUGCUCAUACUAGCCUUUUUUAUACCUAAGCUAGUGCCUGCUUUUGCCUUAUCAAUGUGCAACAAAAUAUGCACUAAAAAAAUUUGGUUGUGAAACUGUACGCCCCCAAUUUGGCCAUGUUUUUGGUAAAAUGAUGAUCUACAAAAUCAUAUCAAUGUUGCAAUAAUGGAAGGGACUGCCAAAUUUCUGGCAGUAAAAUGCACGGUGAAUCCAAUGAAAGCAACAAAACUUUUGACACUUUUGGCUUCAAACCAGGAAUGCCCAAUUAAAUCAAGUGCACAUGCCACUUAAAUAGUUAAUGAAUAUAUGCCAGAGGAAAUACCUUAAGUUUUCUAGCAAGAUCUCCAUGACUCUGCACGGUUGCAGAUCUGCUGGUAGCUUCCUUAGCCAUGCUAAGCCUUUGAGUGACCUCAGCCUGUAAGAUAUAAGAACCAACCAUUAUGAGCGCAUGGCAUAGCAACUCUACCAACAGCCAAGCAUAGUUCCAUAUAAACCUAUCUGAAAUACUAAUAGUGUCUUAUGCAAUGAAAUUAUUGCCUAAAAUAGAACUACUACUCCCUCCGUCCCAAUUUAUAGGUCAUUUUGGCUUUUCUAGCUGCAUAGUUUUAGCUAUGCACUUAGAUAUAUGCUUACGUCUAGAUACACGGUAAAUACUAUGAAUCUAGAAAAGCCAAAACAACCUAUGAUUUGAAACCGAGGAAGUAACUUAAUAGAACAAAACAUAUAGGUAGAAAAACACAAAGCAAACAUACACAACUCAGGGAUGUAUUUAAGUCGGUACCGAAAAUCCAGCAAAUAAGUUGUCCAGAGCUACAGCAUCUACAGGGUGAGUUAUUAAGCAAAGAACAACAAUAACCAAACCGCCUUAGCUAUAGGGUGGGUACACUAUAUUGAAGUAACAUUACGAAGCACAUUAACAAGAGGAGCUACAGAUCCAGCAGUGCAAUCCUGGUUCAAAACCACUAGCAACAAAGAAGUGACAACUGACAAGUGAACUGAAUAUUACAAACUCGUAGCCUUGUUUUAACAAUGCUGGUAUUCAUAAAUGUGGGGUUGAAAGAGAGCUUACGAACUGAAACUAACAUAGAAGCAAAGUAAGUCCAGUCAAUGUGAAAAGAAGGAAAUCAUUGAGUAACAAUUGCGUGGCGGAAUGUACCAUGCAUCUAUCACAAACUCGGACAAGCGGAGCAUUAUCCUCAGCUGUCAGAGCAAUUCUUCCCUGACUGCAUUUGUCACAGAAGAUUUCACCACAGUUCCGACAAUGAUGCUGCAGAAAAGGAACCAUCUUGAUACAUCAAAAUUUUUACCAUAAGAGAUAAUGAGUACAUGGACAAAGAUGCUAUAUAGAUUACCCUGCGAUUGAAAGGGCUAAAAUCAACAGCACAUGAGUGGCACUUCUUAGCAACCUCGUCUGGAACCUAAAAAGGUGACAAAAGUAUAUAUUAAAUAAUGCAGACACUUAAUAACAGAAUAACAAGUGAAGAGACAUAAUAAUCAUAAGAUUAAGAAAGGGUGAUACAAGAUUAAUCAUAAGAUUAAGAAAUGGUGAUACAAGAUGGUGAAAACUGUCAAGAAGAAUUUAGAAUAAGAUCCAUAACACUAACAUAAACCAAUAGAAGUAGAGGUGAUGAAUGUGAUCUGAGGAAAUGUUUAAUGAGGGUUAGAGAUGCAUGUAAUCACAUACAUGCAGCAGAGCACAGAAGAUAUUCUUAUCAAAAUAUCAUGUCAAACAACAUCUGCAAGAAAAUAGCUACACUAGAACAGUUCCUUUAAUCUUAAUCGUGUAGUCAAGUAACCAUUCGAUAUUAGGGAUCAGCUUACCCAAUGGUCUUUCACUUCAUCAACAGGUUUUGCAAACAUCCAAUCAAAACCUUUCUUCUUCUCAUUUGAUUGAACCGUAGGAUUGCCAGCAUCCACAGUUCCUUUGCUUUUAGCAUCUCCACCAAUCUCCUUAAACUAAAUACCAAAGCACAAAGUUAAGUGUUGCACAGGCAAAAAGAGCAAAAUUGUUUUUCAAUGCAAUUACAUGCAUAAAUGACCCACUGAACAAAAUACACCACCAAGCAGAUAGUCAACCUACAUCUGUAGUGAAAUUUAUAAGAAAAAAUAGGCAGGUUUCUACAGAAAACUUUCAGACAAAACAUUAACAAUCCCAUCCAAUAUCCAGCUUAUCCAACUUGUCUCCCUUUCCAAAACAAGAAAGUGUGCACUUCAAACACAGCAACCAUUGAGAUAUAAAUUCAAAAGGACAACAUGACAGUAAAGAAUAAAAUGCCAUUUUGGUAGUUUUAUGUUAUGUGAGCACAUCUUAAAACUGCUGCAUGCUAGCAAAUUAUAAACCAUUCUGAAGCAACAACAAAGACAAAAAAGAACGGAAGUAGAAAUAUAAUGGAACUUAACAUCACCUCAGAAUCAUUUUGAUUGUUUUCAGUAGAUACACGAGGCCAAAUAUUGUCAGGGAUAGGGAGAAUAGUGGUGCUGCAAUACCUGCACUGUUGCUGCUGUCACAGUGUCAAGCAUAGUAUUGGAAGUAUAACUGUUUGACUUCAGCCUAAUUCGUUUUGGAUCAAUAUCCACUGAUGUCUUCGCCCAGAAAGCAAAUAUAGUUGAAUCCAAAACCUAAAUAAGAACCGCAAACAGACAUUAAUCUCACUCACCAUUGCAUAUUGUGUUAAAAAAAACAGACAUCAUUUUCAUAAGAACAAGCUGGCUAACUGACCUCCCAUCUCGUCAGUGAAUCGAGGGGAUAAAUCCUUAGGGUCCUGCUUGUAUUUGGAUCAAGCAUGCGAAUUCCAUCUAGACCAAUCUGCAACAGCACCAUCAAGACAUCAUCUCAUGUAUCAAAAUGGCAAUUGAUUUUUCUUUUUUCAUCAAUGGCAACUAGUAAAUGUGGGUGCAAGGGAAAUUAUUAAAUCAUAGCACGAGAAUUUCAUGUUUUGCCCAUGAUGCAUAAUUUCAUGAAUCUGAUCAUAACCGUACCUGGCAAAGCACAUCAGUAGGGUUCCCUGCACCCUCUGGCAGCAGCUUAACCCGAAAUUUCUGAGCACCACCACUCUCAUCCUCAUGCGUGUCCACCUUCGGAAGGGCCCUCGCGAUCGCCCCAAAGCUCCCACCACCCCCACUGCCACCGCCACCACCGCUCCAGGGCUGCUGCUCCCCUCCAGAUGGGACACUGAUCGACCGCCCAUAGUCAUCAAACAGCGCGGAUCCCGACCGCGCAGGGGCCGUGCCGCGCGCGCCGUACGGCUCCGAACCGCCGCCGCCGCGGUACGCGUACGCGCCCUCGUUCAGGUAAUCCUCGUUGUCGUACCCCGCGGCCGGCGGCUGGUACCCGCCCCCGUAGUACGGGGCGUCGUAGGGCAGCGGCGGAGGGUUGGGCUCCGCAGCCGGUGGGGGCGUGGACUGGGUGGGCGGCGGCGUGUAGUUGUAGUACGGCUCCGGCGGGUAGGGCGCGGGGUUGGUGUGGUAGGGCGGGUACCCGACGGCGCCGUACUGGGGCUGUGGGGGCGGCGGCUGCGAGUAGGCCGGGGCGGAGGGCGGCUGGUCGGAGUAGCCUCCGCCGACGGAGUAGGGCGGCGCGGAGGCGGAGACGUAGCCGCCCGCCCCCGCCGCCGACGCGUCGGUGGCGGCUGGGUACGGGUUCGAGUCCGGGGGCGCGUACUGGUGCGGGUAGUAGUGACCGGCGGGAUCGGAGGACGCGUAGUCGCCGCUCCCGUGCUGCAUCUCCGGUGGCCGAUCGGACGGGGGCGUGGGAUCAAGGCCGGUGGCGCGGACGCCGACGAGGUCGACGGCGAAUUUGAUUCGAUUCGUUGCGUUGCGUUUGCGUUUGCGUUUGUUGCACGGGGAAAGGAAAGGGGGAAAAGGAUGGUGGGGGUUGCUGGUAGGAGGGAGGUUGACGUGUUGGUUCCCAGCCUGGGUUGUUUAUUCGUUUUGGAGCGUGCACUUGCGCGGGGACCGUUCGAUUUGGCCGGCAGGUGGGAGUGGACGGCCGUGAUGGACCUGUGGUGGAUUCGGGCUCGCCUUUCGCGGCAGUUCGCCACGGAUGCAGCUAGUUAUCACAAAAAGGCGACAAAUUCACCAAUGUCGCAGCGUAUGCACCUAUUACCUAUCUAUUCUUAGCCCACAAGGCCAAGCUUUAUCAGCGCCAGAGAGAAGAAAAGAAUCAGCUACAUGUAUGGACAAGUUUGAUGAUAUCAUCGACGUGCAUGUGAAGUUUAAAAAAAUCAUAACCUAUAAACCAAGAACCUAACUUUAAUUCUGAUUACACUACUAAACUUAUUAUAACGAUAUCUUCAAAAUAAACCCACUAUGUUUUGGAUGAAAUUUAUUUAUGGAUAUUUUUACGAAGGUGAAAAUAUUUCUAUGAUAUGUAUAUAUAUCUGGAACAAAUUACACGAAGUUAAUUAUACACACAUCGAACAAAUUAUAUGAAUACAUAGAACAGAAAAAAAUGUAUAGUACGUCUCGAACAAAUUAUACGAACUCAGUUCGGAAAAUAUGCAACCUUGAUUAAAUAAUGUGAAUAAAAAAAGUUCAUCCAACUAUAGUUAAGUAGGAUCUUGUUGGAAAGUUUUUAUUGUCAAAAAUUCAAUGGUGCAAUCAGAAUUUAAUUUUGAUACUCGGUGUAAGAUAUAUAGUUUUUUAAGUCCAAACAAUUUUGCAUGUUGGAUGACAUCAGCAGUUUUGUCUCUCUUACAUGCAUGGACCCGCUCUUCCCACACACGAAGCUGUAGAAGGCUUCAUGUGGUGAAAUUGCAGCAUAUAGGGCCAGUUUGGUGGAGCUCCCACCGGCUUCGGCUCCACCUGACGCGGCAUUGUUCAUGUACUGUAGCUAUAUUGUUCACGGGAGCCAGUUUUCUCUCUCUCCUCCUCCCCCUCACAGACUGGCAAGGAGCCGGUGGAGCCACAAAUUUUGACUCCACCGACUUCCGCUCCUCUGACACCCCUACCACGCAUAGUGCAUGAGCCGGAGCUGGAUGGGCGGCACCGAACGAGCCUGAUAGUAUUCACUGUUCGCCAGUCGUGUCGUCAUUUUUUCGAGGGAGGCAUAACUCUUUAUUCAUCAAUAAAAUUAUAAGAGUUACAAAUAUCUUGAGGCAGAUUUAACAGCUAAACUUGCCUAUGGUGUGAGCAUCUAUAUUGGAGCGCUUAUUUUCAUAAACAAAAUCAACAAUACCAAACAGUGUUGCUGUAAUCUUUAUCUUCCUAAUAAUAUGGCCAUGAGCGACCAUUUCCUCUCUUAAUUCCUCUUAUUACAUCAAUAUUAUCUGAAGCUAGCAUGAAGUGUUAAACCAUAAGGUGUCGACGCCAGGCCUAACUACACGCAAUAGCCUCGACACACCUAAGAGUCCACGCUCCCAGAAAUUUCCAGCCGCGCCGUCGUGACUCACUGCCCGUCCGACACGGCGGGUUAGCGCGUGGACUGAACUGGGUUAUGCGUAUCGUGCGGGUUAGGUCCAAUCAAAUAACGCUAGGCCUCUACGCGCAUUGGGCUUUCAACACGCACCAGCUAUUGGCCCAUGUAUAUUUAAAUAUAUGUGGCCUGGAAGUGGAAGCGGGUUACUUAUUAAAUUUCCUCUAAAAAAAAUAGUCCUGCAUAGUAGACGGUGGAGAAUUCCGUUCUGGCAAACCAUAAAAUCAUUUCAUGUCACUUUAAAGAGCUAUAUGCUUUACGAAGGCCAAAACAUCAUUUGAAGUUCUAGCUCACAAGGAUACUGAAUCUUUCAAUUUUGUAAAAAAAUGGAUAUAUUUACAGAGUAAGUAAAGAAUUGAACCGACAUAUCCACCACACCUAGUCCAUUCCCUUGCAACGAACAAAUCAAACCAAACAUAAUCCAUUGCAGGAACCGCCAAAUGUGUACUCACAAAGUCUGGGACACCGAAGCGACUCUCGAGAUGACCGCGACGGCUCAUCUCCUCAGAAACAUAGGCGACGAAUUAGGAAACCCACCCACGAAUCCAUACAGUCCAAUCCCUAAAACCCAAAACCACCCAAAUUUUAUUCCUGAAUCCCCCGCAAUCUCACAAAGAUCCCAAUCCCCACAGAUUUCCAUUCAAAAGCCACAACGGUCAAGACCGAGUUGAAUAACUUAGGACCUGUUUGGCAGAGCUCCACGCAGCUCCAGAUCCUCAAAAAUAGCUCCACUCCCAAUUUUUCCAACCAAACGGUCUAGUUCCGUGAAAUCCAGAUCCGGAAAAAACCCAGAUCUAGCUCCCAGAUCCACCAAAUCCACGGAGCACCUCAAAACGCUAAUUUUAUAACCUCUCAUGGAAUUGGUGGAAAUUACCCACCAAUGUCAUCGAUUACACACCCCCGUACCGGUUCGCUUCAUUUUCUUUUUUCUUUCCGCCGCCGCUCCAUAUUUACCCGUCGCGCACGCUCAUGGGCCACUCCGCCGCCCCGGGGCUCGACUUCGCCGCCGCGCUGGACAGCGGGUUCCUCGACGUGCUCUGUGGCGGCGACGGCGACGGCGGCGCUGGCCUGUUCGGGCUGCCCGGGGUCGCGGCGGGGGCCGGCGGUGGCGGGUCCCUGAAGGGAUCCUCGGUGUCAGACCCGGCGUGGGCGCGCGCCAGGGACGGCGGCAAUGCCAGGAAGUGGAAGACGCCGCUAGCCGGUGCUGCCAGCGGGAAGGAGGCCUGCUUGGGCAAGGUGCGGGAAACGACCAACGCGGAGUGGAUUCUUCUGCCACGGACUUGUUUGGUUUUAGCUUUCUAGUUUGUCGAAUGCGUUGGUCUCAUUCUGAAUUUUGGUUUGUAGGCUGGGGAGGCCAAGGGGUCGGAUUUUGAUGGUAUGCAAAUUGUGCAUAAAUGAUUGGUGAUCAAUUGAAUUGCAUACUUUGGCGAUAAUCCAUUGACUAAGGACUGGAUAUGUUGAUGCAGGUCAGUUACAAGCUGAUCAGACAAAGGCUUGAUAUUUUUGUAUAGGGAGUAUCAAGACCUGUGGCAAAUGAAGCUCUCCUAAGCUGACCGUCAUUAGACUUUAGGCCUGUGAACUGAUCCAUUCCAUGGUAUGCUGGAUGUACGGAAACUCGAUUCUUCUCAUAGGGAUCAUAUGAUCUUGCAAGAUUAAAGUAGAUUAUGUAAUAGAUAUGGUGCAAAUAUUACAUGCGCCAUCUUCUAAAGCCUCUACUAAUAUGUAAGAACUCUGGCUGGUAUUAGAAGAAUACCUUGUACUGUCGCAUUUUAUUUAAGAUGAAAAAUCAACCUAUGAGAUGUUUCUCCUCGGCAUUUUACAAAGUUUAUUAUGCUCCAUACCUCCAUCAUCUUGUUGCUGCAACUUGCAACUGAGUUUGCUAUAUGUGUAUCCAGAGUUCAUCAUUGUGAAACUGCUCUUCAACUCAUCAGACUGAUCAAAUCCGUUCAACUUAUGAGGCGUAUAUCCUGUUAGUCUGCAGCUGUUAUAAAGGAAAACAAGAAACCCAUAGUACAAAAGUUGUUGGAGAAAUCAGAAAUGAGCAGGCAAUGAGGACCAGACCAAGUUGACAUUUUUUACCUGGCCGACGCAUUUCCCUCUCAAACAGCUCGCGAUCGCAGCUCGUCAUCUACUAGGGUAAAAAUCGCAAAUGGCUCCUGCCUGUUGUCACACCACGUGAAGAGAAAAAAAUGAGAAAAAAAUUGGGAAAACACCAAGGGCAUUAGUAGAUAAUCCAACCAAAAACUCUGUUUCUGGAUCUGGAGAUGUUGUCUCAGCCAAACACUUUUCCUUAGCUCCAUGGUGAGAGCAUAGAUCCACGCUAGAGCUGCUCUGUGGUGGAGCUACUAUUUUUGAGGAUUUGGACUACGUGGAGCUCUGCCAAACAAGCCCUUAGAUACACGCAUAAGGAUCCUAAGAGCUCUUUUGCAAUCCCUGAAGGCCAUAUUAGUACCCCCUUUGAUGAGUUCUACAAGGUCCCACCAGAUUCGGGUCCUACAAAUUUGUCAUCAGCUCAAUCUAUUGCUGAUAUUUAGAAGUUCUUCAAGAGAGGGAGUGUUGGUGUUUAAACCCAGCAACCUACCGAGGGAGGUGCCUGAGAGGGAGGUGCCUGAGGUAGUGUUUUGGUUAGUGGGGCUCGCCGAGAUCAGAAACUCGAAGGUAAACGCAGAUACAUGAUUUAAAAAGGUUCGGGCAAUUGAAUAGCGUAAUACCUACGUCCUGUGUGUUGGUUGGUUUGAAUUGCUUUGGAGGGGGUCCUUGCCUCGUCUUAUAUUGCCGGGGGCAGCGUUACAGGUCGGUUGGUUACAAGAAUACUAGUCGAAUUCGACUAGACGAGUUCUACUCUUAUUACUACGAGUACUUUUCUAAUCCCCGACUAGUUUCUGUCUUUCCAUGUAGACUAUGCCGUGCUGCGUCAUAAUCUCCAUGUCAGAUACGUCUCGGUAUUCAGUCCCAUAUCUAGGAUUGUCCAAACCUUCUGGUGGGCUCAUAGAUGUAUGUACGGCAGGGAGGAAGAUGUGGCCCAUAUUCUGAUCGUGUUUAAGGAAAAUUCAUCAUAAACGCAAUCUAUUACUGGUACUGAAGAAUUUUUUGUAAAGAGGGAGGAAUCUUUGGGUGAGAUGCUGGGCGAGGUAAAGGAAUUACAGGUAAUUAGAACCAGUAAUUUGAGGUAUGAAAGGGUCAGCCACAGUUCUGAUGAAAAAUCCUUCAAAAGGGGGAAGAUCAGUCUUAUCCCACUAGUAAUCUUUCCUACCCCAAACUACGCUAUUUUGCUUUCCAGGUUCUUGUGGAAUUGUUCAAUGGCGGAGAGAGAAGCUAGUCCCAAAAAUCUCAUGCUAAGUGACAAGUGUGUGAACCUUUCAGGAGGAGAUGAGGCUGUUGGUGAGAGGGUCUACCCAAGGCGCGCUAGAAAGGAGAUUGCAGAAUCAAGCAAUGCUGCUGAGAAGCGUGUCCUAGUUGUCCACAUGACCGGGGCAAGCUAGCCGGUUCUUGGCUGUCAGUUUCCUUCUGUCUGCUCUGCUAGUGAACUCAAGGAACCAGUUCGACCACAUGAAGAAGGUAUGGAAACUCCAUGAGGAGAUGGACGAGAGCCCAGUGAAGGCAGAAGUGGGCAAGAAAUUUAUCUUGGAAUUCUCAGUGAAAGAUGACUAUAAGCACGUCAUCAUGGGUGGACCAUGGCAGUACAAAGGUGAUGCUUUCUUAGUGGAAGGGAUAACAACAGGUACUGAUCCCUCUGUUGCCCUCUUUACCAAUGUGCCAAUGUGCCAAUGUGGGUGCAGUUCAGAAACAUUCCCUUUUAUCUUCUCACCAAGAAGCUGGCGCAUGAUCUUGGGGAGAGUUUAGGCACAACCAUGAUGAUUGAUAGCAGUGCAAGGGGUCCAAUCAAUAACAAGUUUCUCAGAACUAGGGUGCAACUCCCUUUGUUCAUGGCCUCUUAGAAGGAGAUCGUGCUAGUUGACGACAUCACAGUUGAGGAGUUUUGUGGUGGAUCCGGCCAAAUUAACUUAGCUAAAGCACAUUUAAGUCGCCUAACAUGCGAUCAUGUACUUUAAUCAAGUUAACUCGGUGGUCCAUCGGAUUUCAUCCGAUAAACCACUUAACACAGGAUCGAGAAAGUAGAGCUCACACGAAGGUGAGUGGUUUCAGAGAUUACAAUAGUCCAUCCAGAUUAAUUAAGUGCAUCAAAUUAUUACAACAUCAAGUUCGAAAUUCAAACAUAAAUUGCAGAGUUCAGGCAACAGAAAUAAAUAAGCGGAAGCUGACGUCGUUGCCGGACAUCAUGACGAAGCCGAUCAUGACAUCAAUGAUCCGAUCCUCACCGUCCGAGGAGGGAUCCCACUCGAACGUCCAACCAGGAGGAAGCUGGAGAGGCCAAGUGCCACUUGCCACAAGCUCAGAGGCAUCAACAUCACCUGAAAGAGAUAUGCCACAACAAGGCUGAACGACUACGCUCAACAAGACUUAACUGACCGGUGGUACUAAUCCACCAACACCUAGACAUGCAAGCUUUUUGGCUCUGGGGUUUGUUUUUGCCAAAAACGACUAGAGUAGGUCCUUAUUUUCAAUAUUUUAGCCACAAGUUCUAAGUUUAUUUACCUGUCUAAGUUAGCAACUAUACUAAACAAGCAUAGUUUCCAAAUAAUUUAUGACAAGCACUAAUAUUAAUAUCAUCAUCAAGUUCCAUUCUUACUCCGUGUAGCAUAGCGAUCAAGUAGUCCCAAACUGUGAGAGGCAGACGAAUCAAUUUGAAUUUCUUAACCAUGCAUGGCGAACCUAAUCCCACAACAUCCACGCACCGCGAAGGGUCGCUUCAUUUGUCAGCCAUCCCCAUCAAUUCCCAGACCCGUGUCGGGCCCACUUCCCUCGGUACAAGGCUCCAUAGACCCGGCCUCUGCCGUUCUAUGACCGCACUUGUCACCAUACGCGGCCGCAAGGGAACUCCGUUCCAGAGACAGUGGAACGAACCGCUCACGUCCUGGUUCAAUCAGGUACUAGGCUUCCCCAUCCCAUAUUAGGUAUGAGAUUAGUACUUUCGAACGCUUGAUCACGAACACUAUCACAUCUCGACCUUAGUCCAUAUUCACGUAGACAAAUGGGGUAAUCCACCGACCACCAAAAUAGUUCACAGAGCCCUGCCCCGUCCAUCGUCCUUAUAGUUGUAACAAAGGAAAGCAAACAACUCCUAUAACUCACGAGUGACAGGCAAUCACUUGACUUUUACCGAGUCCUAUUAAGCACUGCAACUACUUGACUUAACAUACUAGUGUUCAGAUCAAGGGUACUAUAUUCAUGCAUCUAUGAUUUCAAUCAACUCCUAGAACGUAAAUGUGCAAUCAAAGCAAUCAAUUGUAUUGCAAGAAUUUAAAGAUAGGAAAUGAUGCUCCGGGGCUUGCCUUCAAACGAGGAGGUAGCAAACGGGUCUUCGGCUUGCUCGGGCUCGGCUCCGACGGGCUGCAGCUCAGCUAUGGCUCCUUCUUCUAGCACCGGGUGAAGCUCGUAAGUCCCGUCAGCGAGGUUCAUCUCUACAUGAAAUGCAAUGCAUCAAGUUAACUUCCCAAACUUUUUCAUAGCAUGUAAGACACGAGUUAGUACUGAAGAAAAGUUAUAUUAGGGCCACAUUCACCUAAACAAGGUUUUACAACUUCUUUAUUCACAUAGGGAGGGUGGGAUGUGGUGCGAAGCUGGGGGUUGGUUUGAUGGCGAUUGUGUAUGUAUAUACAUCUCAACUUGAUUAAACUUUAGAUUGGAAAGUUAUCCUAUUUCUGAAUGUUCUUUUGUAUCUCUUCCAAUAUUACCUUUAUUAACUUAAGGUAGCGUAAACUUAAACAUUUUUAUAGCAGAAACCUCAAUGAAACUGGUCAUAAAAUUCUAACAGUGAGUUAUAGGGAUGAUACAAAGCCUUUGAUGAUUUUUUCACAAUUUUUAGCGAAGGGCAUCUUUUUCUACACAUUUACUCGAUUUAUUCUUCCCUAAAUAGGAAAGUGGUACCUCUUUUUAUUUCUGGUGGUUUCCAUAUUCUUACCACCAAUUACAUUACAUCACCGCCUUAUUCCAAAGGUUUCAUAUUUUUCUCAGUUCGGGUUUAAUUGUUAUGAAAAAAGGCAAAAACAAGCUUAGAUUCUAAUGGUAAAACUAAAACAGAGAUUUAAACAUCUGAGCUAAGCUCCAAAUCAUUUUUUCAAGCUUGUACUAUCUGAAACAAACACUUGAGAGUUGGAUUUAACUUUUUAUCAUAUUUCUAUGAUUUGUUACGAUUGAAAUAGCUUAAACAAGAAUUAAAACACAUAAUAUUAAUUCUAGCAGUGACAUGUGCCAAAAGUAUUUUUAUUAAAAACUACUAUUUAUACUGAGCCUAGCAAAAUUGGUUUGAUAUUUUUCUGAAUUUUCUACAAAUUUUGGUGAAUUUCCAAAGUUAAACAUAUAUUCUGCCGAUUUAAAAAGAUAAACCGUGCCAGACUUACGGUCUAGCCCCUAGGUCUAGGGUUUAAUCAUGCAAAGGUCCCUAGUUUUAACAAUAAGGCUCCUGUUCAACUUUUCGAAUUGCAAUUGGGUCCUCGACGGCGCACAGUGGCGGGCGGGCAAAAUCCCGGCGAUGGGCCGGCGGCCUUGGGACGGUGAGUGGCCGGGAGGGCUUACGGGCUCACCUUUUGCUGGUUUGAAGCGGUUGGGGGUGAUGGGGAUGCUCGGUCGGGGUGGAGCGACGCAAGGGCAGGGAGCUUUGGGUGGCGGCGAAGUCCGGCGGUGUUCCGACGGCGGCGGCGCUCUUCAUGGGCAACCGACAGGCUCUAGAGCUGCGCGAGGUGGAGGCGAAGUGGCUAGGGGUGUCGGCGAGGUGCAAGAUCGAGCAGAAGGGGGAGCUCCACGGAGAGGGUGUGCGGCGGAGCUGAGAGUGGAAGCAGGCGAGCGCGGUGAGGUUCGGGGGGCGAGCAGGGAAGGGGGCACCGGUGGCGCUGGGUUCCUAUUUAUAGGGCUAGGGCAGAGUGGCGAACGAGGUGGGGCCGUGGCUCUGGCGGGCGGGAUCGGAGGGAAGCCGGGGCACUGUUGCAGCCAUUAAUGGUGACGGCGCCAUUGGCGGACAGAGGAGGAGGAAGUGGCGCGGCAGGCGAGGGCACUGCAGGCGAGGUGGGUAGGCGCGGGCGGAGCGAGUGUGCGCGGGAGUGACGGCUUUGUCGGGGCGUCGGGUUGGCGAGGCUGGGUCCGAGGCGUCGCAGCCGGGGUGGUGGUUGGCGGAGGUGGCGGUGCUCUGGUAGGCGAGCGCGAGGGCGCGCGCUCGACAGCGGCGGGGCGUGCCCACGGGCGAGGCGAGGCGAGGCAACGGGCAGGGCGUCCGCGCGCUCGACGGGGCUGCCGGCGCGUCGACCCAGCUUGUCACGGCCGUGGAUGGGGCGACGGGGCGGCACCGGUGGGCUUGCGCCACGGGGUGGCCAACAUGCGGAGCGCGACGCACGCGCGCUCGGGCACGCCUGAUCCGCGAGAUCAUUUCGCCGGGCCGGUCUUCAAGCGCCUAGAUGUCCCGAUUCUUGAACCGCACAACAUUAACUCCCUUUACAAAAGUUGUAGUCCUCGUUCCAAAGUUCAACUUUAGUAAUUGAACUGAGUUCAAAUUCCUGGUAGAUUCGGAGAUAGAAGGGACCAAAGUUUGAAGGAACGCCGAUUUUUUGGACUUAGAGAAAAUCAGCCGGUUGGCUGUUUUCAAGGUGUUUGGCUGACUUGAGCUUCGAUUUUGAAAAGCUUCGGAGGAGAAUUGGACUAGAGUCCAAUUGACAAAGUUUUGUAUAAACUUAGUUCUCAAACUCUUAUAAAGGAUUUUUCUAAUUUUUGGUUCAACUUUUGGGAGACAAACUCAUGCCAAGAUGCAGGAUUGAUCUGAUUUCUAGACUUGGUCUAAAUUGCAAGUCUUGGGCUGAGGUAACCAAACUAGGUGAAUUUGACCAGGAUUUCGAAAGCCUUCUGUGCAGAUUUCGACCUUGCUUCUUUAACCAAAGUUGGUAAGGGCUUAAAGCUCUAAAACUUUUGUAUAGAGCUUAGCUUGAUUUUAUAUUAUAAAUUUCGAAAUACAGAGCCCCAAGGUUGGAACUUUAUCUGAUUUUCUUAAAAUUAACACAGAUUUGUACUUUGAGUUUUUGAAGGGCUUCUGCUUAGAUUCAAGCAAAACACCAAAAAUAAAAGUUGUCAGUAAAGGUGAGUUCUGCAACUCUUAGUUGGACAGAUUUUUAUGUUCUUAAGCAAAAAUUUAAGUUACUAUCUAAACAGCGGUUUAUCUUGUGAGGGAAAAAGUGUCCUUUCACCUGCCUUCACUAUUGUCAAAGUUCUCCUUUAUGUACUAAUGACUUUGUUUAAGAUUUAAACAUGGCUUAAUUAAGCUAGGUUGUUACAAGUUUGUUGUCCAAGUUCGAUAUGAAAGGCUACCAAAUUUCUGCUAGUUCCAUGGGUACAUAGGGCAUAUGGAGGAUAUACGUGAUUUGCCGGCUAGAGAAAGAAAAAUCAAUUUUUGUUUGGAUCUUCAUGUCCGUCCAGUCCACUUUGAUGAUCCACACUGCUGGAAUCUUUCGGAUUGUAUGGGACAGCCUCACAGAGCUCUUCUUCCAUGCUCUGGCAUGCUCCUAAACCGACAACGCUAGGCCUUCCGGCAGCCAUUGCUCAAGCUCCAACCACAUGAAACAAGAAGGCUGUCGAUCUAGUGGAAAAGGUGGCUCAGCUAACAGUUGCAGAUAAUCAGCAGCCUAAAAAUAAUGAUAGGCUGGAAAAUAGGACUGGAGCUAAAACUAGGGUUGUUGCUAAAGAAGGACAUGGGGCCAUGCCAAUAGGGGUGCGUGGUGUUGAUGCUGUAGAAAAAGAUGAUGGGAAACAUAUUUCAGGUAACAAACAAGGGAAGGAAACUACUAAGGCAAUCAAUUCUCUGAACUCACUCUCAACCGCAGGAUCCACUUGUGAAAUUAAAGUGAAGGGUUGGAAGAGAAGAGAAAAAAAUGUAUCUGAAGUGCAGAGCAACACUAGUGCCAAUUUGCUGGGGGCAGGAAUAGUGCGACCUCGCAUAGAAGUACAAGAUGAAGGUGAUGUUAUGGAACCAAAAGCAAAAAAGGGUCUUUCGGGGUCCCAUACUCUCUGAAUGUUUGGGAAAGGAAGGCCUGGCUGAACUAAGGGCUGCUGAACAGAAUGAGGUAUUGGCUAUUGAUGGGCAUGACACAGAUGUUGAGUCGAAGAACAUGGGCAAAGCUUCAAUGGAAGGUAAAGGUGGUAUGGCAGCGACCGGUCCUAGGGCUACCGGAAAUCUUUCGGGCGCUAAUGAUAUUGCCUUGCAAGAGCCAUGAGUUUCUUGGGAAUGAACUGCUCGGUUAGUUCAGAAAGAUGUCUAGCUUAUCUAAAUACAAGGUCCCAGCUUAUCACUCCUCGCAAUAAGGCAUUAUAAUGUUGUAAAAGCUUAUAUGUGUGUGUGUCUGAGUUUCAGUACCUACUUGCUUGUUGGUGUACUCUUGUUUUUUCUCAACAACCACCUAUCUGCUGCAUCUUUUGUAAUGCCGUAUGAAAUAAAAGGAAGGAGAGUCUUUGGUUAUGUUGCCUCUUGUCCUCUAUUAUAUAUGGUGUGUACCUUUUUAAAGAUUUUUUUGCCUUGUCCGAUAAUGAGAACAUGGGGGAGGCUUUUAAGGAAGGAGCUGCACAUUCUAGAGAAUUUAAACAAUGUGUGUUAACAGGGUCUUUGUGGUGUUGUCUGCUGAAAAUGUCAACGUUACAUCUGGAAUGUUUGUGGAUGCAGUUGUGUAUGUGGUGGGAUCUUGUUACUUGUCACAUGAUGUAAAUAAAGUAUGUGCCCUAACUUUCAAAGAUCUUUGUUGCCAGUUUGCAGGGGGUCAGGCAACACGCGCUUGGAAGCCUGUAAAAAAAUAGAAGGAUCGAGCUCUUGAGAGAGCAAGGGUGGUGGAGGUAGAUGUGACCAUUGGUGCACAUGUUGGCGCGGGGCUGUCGGAAUAGCCCUGCGAGAACCAAUGAAGAUAAUUGCGUGGAACUGCCGGGGGUUGGGAAAUGGCCCGACAGUUCUUGGCCUUCUGAAUCUUUAGAAGGAGGAGGACCCCGACAUUCUUUUUCUAUCUGAAACAAAAAUGGAUAGAAACAUAAUAGAAUUUUUUCAUUGGAAGCUUGGCAUGACAAAUAUGGUGGUUAAAGAUUGUAAGGGGAGAAGUAGUGAUCUUGCAAUUUUUUUUGGAAAAAAAGAGAUUAAUUUGCAUCUCUGUGCAGUGUCUCGAUUGUAUAUUGAUGCGGAUGUGUCAGAAAAGGAUGGCUUUGUUAGGAGGUUCACUGGUUUCUACAGUGAACCAAAGUCAGAUAAGAAGGAUCUAUCAUGGAAAACUAUGCGUACACUGAAUGCGGCAAGGAGAAGACCGUGGCUAUGUAUAGGUGAUUUUAAUGAAAUUUUACUAAGUUGCAAAAAGGAGGGAGGUGCCUUGUUGGUGUUUAGACCCCGCAACCUACCGAGGGGGGGGUGCUCGAGGUAAUGUUUAGUGCGUGGGGCUCACCGAGAUCACAAACUCGAAGGUGACCUCUGUAGAUGGGCGACAGAGGAGUUCCCUCCUGGUACGGGAGGGUAUCAAGGUAGGCAACAAGGCAUGACUCGUCAUUCUUUGCGAGAGCAAGACGUUUCAUGUUGGGCAAGUAGACGAAUCUGCCUUGUGGAGUUGAAGUAAUCACCAGGCCCCGUUGUGGACCCGAUAAAGGAGUCUCCUCGUCUGGAUCCGAGUAGUAGUCGGGGUCCUCGAUCAUAUCCGAGUUGGAUUGUGAUCUGAACAGGGUAGCUUGGUAGACAACUGUGGCGGAACCGCCCAAAUUAACCUCACUAAAAUGCAUUGAAGUCGCCUGACACGCGAUUAUGCACUUUAAGCAAGUCAACUUGGUCGACCGUCGGAUCUCCUCCGAUAAACCACAUAACAGGAUCGAGAAGCAUCGCUCACGCGAAGGUGAGUAGCACAGAGGUUGCAACAUUUCAUUAUGACAACAAGUUCCACAUUUUAUUAUAUCAGAGUUUUCAAAAUUUAAACCGAAAUUUGCAAGGUUCGAAGUCAAAUAAAACUAGCGGAAGCUAAACGUUGAUACAUGACAUCAUGACGGAGCCGAUCAUGACAUCAAAAACUCCUUCCUUCGCCGUCCGAGGAAGGAUCCCACUCGACGGUCCAGCCUGGAGGAAGCUGGAUCGGCCAAGUGGUACCAACACCCAAGCUAUUAACAUUACCUGAAAAAGAUUAGCCACAACAAGGCUGAGCAACUAGUACUCAGCAAGACUGACCCGUCGGAAAGACACGACCGAGACUUAGAUAUGCAAGGCUUUCUGGCUCUGGGGUUUUCUUUGCCAAAAGCGUCUAAAGUUAGUCCUUACUUUCAACAUUUUAGCUCAUGUUCUAUGUUCUUUAUCCAUUCUAGAUUAGCAACUUAUACUAAACAAUAUGGUUUCCAAGCAAUUACUGAACAAGCAUCAAGAUUUAAACUCGUCAUCAUGUUCCAUCUUUACUCAGUGCAGAAUAGCGAUCAAGUAGUCCCAAUCUGUGAGAGGCAGAUGAAUCGAUUCAAAUUUAUUAACCAUGCAUGGCAAACCUAAUCUCACGACAUCCGCGCACCACGAAGGGUCGCUUCAUUUGUCAGCCGUCCCCAUCGAUCCCUUAGGCACGUGUCAGGGCCAACUUCCUUUGGCAUGCAAGGCUCCACAGUCCCGGCCUAUUGCUGCACUGUGACCGCACUUGCACCCACAUGAUGCACCAUGGGAACGACGUUCCAAGGACAGCCGGAAGGUAUGCCACGCCCCAGUUCAAUCAGGUACUAGGCUUCCCCAUCCCAUACUAGGUAUGAGAUUAGUACUUUCAAACACUUGAUCACGAACGCCGACACGUUUCGACCUUAGUUCAUUUUCAUUUAGACAGACGGGGCAAUCCACCAAGUAUCGAACACAAGCCUGACCCCAUCCGUCGUCCUUAUAGUUGCGACAAUUCUGAAACAUUCAACUCCUAUAACUCGCGAGUGACAGGAAAUCACUCGACUUUUACCGAAACCUAUUAAGCAUUGCACUACUCGACCUUAGCAACUAGGAUUCAGACAAGGUACUAAGUUUAUGCAUCUAAGGUUUCAUUACAACUCCUCGAAACGUAAAUGCGCAAUCAAGUAAACAAUAAUAUUGCAUGAACUCAAGAUAGGAAUUUAUGCUCCGGGGCUUGCCUUCAGGAAAAGCUUGCGGGUCCUCGGGGUCUUGCUCCGGUUCGGGCUCUCCUUCGAAGGGGUGCAGUUCCUCGGCGGGGUCUUCUUCCGGCGCCGGGUGAAGCUCGUACGUUCCGUCGGCGAGAUUCAACUCUACACGGAAAUGCAAUGCAGGGGUUAAACAUUUUAGAUGGUUAUUUCAACACACUCAUGUUUCAACACGGACACUUGUAGCAAAGCUACAGGAAAGGUGGGGGAGUUCAACUUCUGUUGGUGGAGAGCAGGAUGAGAGGGUCGGAUUGGGGAAAACUUAGGGUCUGUCCCUCAGGUUUAAGGAAAACCGUACAGAGGUCCUCAGACUCAACACAGAGGAAUCCCCGAAAAUAUUUCACCGAUACCCUCGAGUCAAAGAGAAAGUUACAACCGAGCCCUCGAGCGAGGCGGAGAAAGGGUUGGCGAACUUGGCAGGGUCGGGCGAGGCGAACGGGAAAAGGUCGGGCGAGACGAAAAGAAAAGGGGUCGGGCGAACCGAAACAAAGGGUCGGGCGGAACGAAAAAGGACAGGGGUCGGGCGAGACGGAAAGACAGGGAGGCUAAGUAGCUUACCUCCAGGUCUACCAGUGAAGCCUUGGGGCCGAACAGGAGCAGGCUGGGGCGGAAAGGGGAGCUUUCUCAAAAGGGUGGCGGCGAAAUUGCCGGAGUGUGAGGGUGGCACAAGGGGGUGAGCUCCACGGAAGCUCAGCGGCGGCGCGGGGAGAAAGUGGUGGCUCAGAGGAGAAAGCAGGGUGUAGAGGAGAAAGCGGCUGUGGCAAAGGGGUGGCAUUGCCGGUGAGGGGGUUCCCUUUUAUAGGGCCGGGGUGGUGCGGAGGGUCGAGGCGGGGCUCCGGUGGGGAAAGGAUAAGGCCGGGAGCGGCGAGUACUCGGGCGAGGCGGCCAUUGGCCGACGACGCCAUUGGGCAGAGUAGGCGGAGCUCCGGGUGGUCUUCGGCGGCGAUUGGCCUUGGGCGGCGCGCGUCUGGGGCUUCCGAUCUGUCGGGCGGGCGAGGCGGAAAGGCUACCGUGGGGGUUGGGUGAGCGGGCGGAGGCGCAGGACGUCGGGGGCGUCUCAGCUUUCUCGGCGAACGGGCGGAACAGGGUUGGCGGAGCAGAGCCGUGGCAGGCGGAAGGCGACCUGCGCGCGGCCGGCGAUUGGCUAGCCCUGCGCUCGCUCCGUCCUGUCGCGGGCGCGGGUUGGGCGCCGUGGCUCUCGUUCUGUCGCUGUCGCGCUGGUGAUAGGGCGCCGGCGAGCUGCCGGUGGCCGGCGGCCACGCGGCGCGCGAGCGAACAUGCUCGGGCGCGCAGGCGUCGAGGCUCCCUUCGGGCAGCAAGCCCGACCAGCUUUGGAGCGAUCCUUCUCUGAAUCUUUCAACACAGCUCCCGAAACUCCCUUAAACAAACUUGUUCAACUCUGGCCGUUCUUCAAACUUUGUUUAAGGUGUCGGUUUUGAUCGUGAGAGGAUUCGAAGAUAUUUUACGCCAAAGUUAGCCAAAAAUCUGGAAUUCCAGACUUAGGAUUUUCAAGGCACCAGGGUGAGUUGACUGGUUUACCUCACUUUGACUGGGAUUUUGAACAAGUUCGGGUCCGAUUUGGAUCUGGGUCAGUGUAACAAAGUUGGAAUACUUUUGAGGUACUACAACUUCUAUUAAGGCUCUGACUCGAGUUUAGAUAGGAAAACGGGAGAUGAAAGCUUGCAAGGAUGGAGGAAAAACUCGAAUUCCAGGACUUAAGAGAUUUUCAGGGUCCUUUUAGGAAAAUCGGCUUUGGUUGCGGUUUUUGACUUCCUUUCACUCCGAAAUGGUCAAAGUGCCUUUAACAAAAGUUGUUGGGAUUUAAAAGUUUUACGAGUCUUAUUUGGGCAGAAACUUAAGUUUGUAUACAGAAUUUCAAGCUUUAAAUUCGAACUCCAAAAAGAGCUUCUUAGGUUUAUAAUGGUCAUUUCACUUCUUAACUUAGGGAUUUGAUUUGUCACUGGUUUAGAGUUAAAAGCACUUAAUCUAGGUAGAGUUGUUACAACAACACCUGUGUUUCAAAGUCCGAACGGGAAUCGACUUGGAUCGUAGACCGAUUCGCACGAUGGCUUAAGUGCCAGCUCAUGGGAACCAAUCCGACUAGCGGGAGAAGUCGAGUUGUACUCGGACUCGUCCCCCCAUCCUCUGACUAGGUCAGAAAUUGAAAAUUUGCCAAAUUUUUCGACGAGAUCCUCCAGAGCUUGUCGCUGGAGGUUGAUGGCGUGCUGCUUCUUCUCUAGGGCCAGCGCGAUAUGGCGGUGGAAGUUUCCAGCACUGUCUGCGAUGCUAACUCAGGAGCCGAAGAUGAACGUCGCGCCCGCUUCGAACGCGACGGUUGGCUUGAUGAUGAAUUGGGCCAUCGAGUUCGCCGGCGGAUUCUCAACGACCACCCCUACCUGGCGCGCCAGCUGUUGAUGUUUAGAUCCAGCAACCUAUCGAGAGGGUGCCCGAGGUAGUGUUUAAUGCGUGGGGCUCGCCGAGAUCAGAAACUCGAAGGUGAACUCGAACACACGAUUUAGACAAGUUCGGGCCGCUAGAUUUCGUAAUACCCUAUGUCCUGUGUGUUGGUUGUAUUGAAUUUCUUUGGAGGGGUCCCUACCUCGCCUUAGAUUGCUGGGGGUAGGGUUACAUGUCAGUUGAUUACAAGAAUACUAGUCGGAUUCGACUAGUGAGUCCUACUCUAAUUGCUACGAGUAGUUUCCUAAUCCUCGACUAGUUCCUAUCUUGCCGCGUAGACCACGUUGUCCAGCACCGUAGUCUCCAUGUCUGACACGUCUCGGUGUCUAGCCUUGUAUCUUAGACUGUUCAAACCUUCUGGUGGGCCCAUAGAUAUAUGUACGACAUGCACCAUGGGCACAAGGCUGCAUGGACCAUUUCAGAGAAGCCCUAGAGGAGUGUUUCCUGACUGAUCUAGGAUUUGUAGGGGAUCCAUACACUUGGAGGAACAAUAAUCAUAACAGUGAUGGCUACAUACGAGAGAGGCUGGAUCGUGCAGUUCCGGAUAGAGCAUGGUGUGCUAGGUUUUUGAGCUUCCGUGUGAUCAAUGGUGAACCUAGACACUCUGACCAUAGGCCUGUUAUGAUGAUCACAGAAGAGGAGGAUGCAAGUAACAGAAACCCACUUGCUCCACGUUUUCGCUUCGAAGCUAGCUGGACAAAGGUGGAUAAUUGUGCAGCAAUUGUUGAGAAUGCAUGGAAACUCACUAUGAAUGCAAGGAAUGGUAAAGUGCAUGAUGCUCUUAGAGAGGUUGCUACAAACCUUUCGGAUUGGAGCAGGAAUAUAUUUGGGUAAUCUUGAGAAAAGAAUCAAACGAGCUCGACGUGCUCUGGAGGAGUGUCGGAAGAGCUCUCUAAAUGCACAAAAUGUACCCAGGGAGGAAAUUCUAAAAUAUAAAUUGGAGAAAUUGGAGGAGCAAAUAGAACUCUAUUGGAAACAACGUGCACAUGCCCAUUGGUUAGAAAAGGGAGAUUGUAAUACAAAGUAUUUUCAACAAUACGCAUCGGAAAGAAAGAAGAGGAACAAAAUUAAAAGGUUAGUGAAGGAGGAUGGGAGCUUCAAGGCAGAGAUGACAGGGAUGUUCACUUAUAUCACUGAUCAUUAUAAAAAUCUUUUUGAAUCCCAUGCAGUCGAUAGAAUUGAUGACCUGCUACAACAAGUUAAUCCAAAGUAUCGCAAGAGAUGAAUGAUAUGCUGCUAAAAGAGUUCAGCAAUGAUGAAAUUAAACAAGUUUUGGACAGUAUUGGUGAUCUGAAGGCACCUAGAGCUGAUGCCAUGCCAGCCUUGUUUUACAAACAAUAUUGGGAUAUCAUUGGGGAUGACAUUACAAAGGAGGUGAAAAAAAUUUUACGGGGGAGAAAUGCCAUGUGGAUGGAAUGACACUAUUGUUGUGCUAAUACCAAAAGUGGAAAACUCGAAAAAGGUUAAAGACCUGAGGCCUAUCGGUCUGUGCAAUGCGGUGUACAAAAUUGCAUCAAAGGUAAUUUCAAAUCGACUGAAAAUGAUCUUGUCCGAGGUUAUCUCCCUAAACUAGAGUGCCUUUGUGCCUGGCCAGCUCAUAACAGAUAAUGUACUUUUAGCUUAUGAAUUUACUCACUUCCUACAAACAAAAAGAUCUGGUGUAGAUGGUUAUGCAGAAGUGAAAUUAGACAUGAAUAAAGCAUAUGGCCGAGUGGAAUGGUCUUUUUUGGAAAAAAAAUGACGAUGAAAUUGGGUUUUGCAAGAAGAUGGGUGGAUAUUAUAAUGAGAUGUAUUUCUACAGUUUCUUACCGCAUCAUCAUAAAUGGUUAGCUUACUAAGGAAAUUUCACCAAAACGUUGUUUGAGACAAGGUGACCUCUAUCUCCUUAUUUAUUCCUAAUUUGUGCUGAGGGUUUUUCUGCCUUGUUGAAUGCAGCUAAAGCUAAUUGUUUCUUAACUGGUAUAAGGGUUUGUUAAGAGCCACCGAGCAUCAACCACCUUCUGUUUGCAGAUGACUCACUGCUACUUCUGAAAACUGAUGAUCAAAGUGCACAUCAUCUGCAAAAUAUUCUCACCUUGUAUGAGGAUUGCUCAGGGCAAACUAUCAACAAAGAUAAAUCAUUGGUGAUGUUUAGCAAGAAUACUAAGGCAACUGACAAGCUUUAGUUAAUGGCAGUCCUGGGCAUUGCAACAGAGGCAAGAAAUGAUAAGUAUUUGGAUCUUCCAGUUUAUAUGGAAAAGCAAUAGCAAAAACUUUUGCAUAUUUGAAAGAAAGGGUCCAGCAAAGAAUUCAAGGCUGGAAGGAAAAGCUGCUUUUAAAAGCUGGCAAAGAGAUCCUAAUCAAGGCCAUAGCGCAGGCGAUCCCCACAUACACAACGUCCUAUUUUGACCUCACCAAAACCUUACGUGAUGAAAUCAGUAUGAUGAUUUGUAGAUAUUGGUGGGCACAACAAGAUAAAGAAAAUAAGAUGCAUUGGUUGUCCCGGGAUUUUGUAUCAAGGAAAAAAGAAAGGGGGUUUGGGAUAUAGAGAUCUCCACCUUUUUAAUUUGGCAAUGUUAGCAAGGGAAGCAUGGAGAUUACUGAUGAAUCCCAUAUUCUUUAUGUGCCCAGGUCCCGCGAGCAAAGUAUUUUGAGAAUGGCAAAUCACUUGACGUGACAGAAGCUCAAGGCAUCUCAUACUCCUGGAGAAGCAUUGUUCGCGGCAUACAAGCACUAAAGGAAGGCUUAAUUUGGAGGGUUAGUGAUGGAUCACAAAUAAAUAUUUGGUUAGAUCCUUGGUACCGACAGGUGUGAUGAGAAGGCCAAUCACUCCUCGAGGGCAUAACAUCUUGGCAAAGGUUUCAAAACUUAUUGAUCCAUUAACAGGGGACUAGGAUAAAAUUCUAAUCAAAGAUGUGUUCUGGGAAGAGGAUGUGAAGCAUAUCCUUGCAACCCAAGUAAAUAAUAAUAUGGAGGAUUUUCUUGCAUGGCACUAUGACUCAAAAGGGCUAUUUUCAGUAAAAUCGAUGUAUCACACUUUGGAGGAGAAGCGGGAGCGGCAGGCCACAAGACAGAGAGGUGAGUCAUCGUCACCUUCGGCAACUGCAAAUCAGAUAGAGUGGGGAAGAAUAUGGAAAAUGGAAUGUCCUCACAAGAUCAAACAUUUUUUAUGGCACCUAACGCAUAAUAGUCUGCCUCUGCGGAUGAAUAUUAAAAGAAGAGGCAUUGAUGAUGUUGACACCCGCUGUCCAGUGUGUUUGAGGAUGGAUGAAGAUGGUAGCCAUUGUUUUUUUUUAAAUGCAAAUUCGUGCGCAAAUGUUGGCAGAUGAUGAACCUAGAAGGUGUGAUGCUGAAAUUAGUAGACAUAAAAGAUGCCAAGGAGGUAACAAAUUGUAUCCUAUCUAUGGAGGACGAAAACAAAUAUGAGAUCAUGAUCCUAAUGCGGUUAUGGUGAGAUCCAAGAAACAAAGUUAAUGCUGGUGAACAAAGAAGAAUAGUGGAAGAAGUAGUGCACCAAGCAAGAAACAAGACAUAGGAGGUUUGUACUAUGCUAAACAAAAUAGUUGAGAAGCAUCAUAAAAAAGUGCAGAGAUGAAAUCCACCUCUGGAGGAAGUUCUCAAAGUUAACAUUGAUGAAGCUUUCCUCAUGGAGCAAAAAUCGGGAGGAUGGGGCUUCAUUGUUAGAGAUGUUGAUGGCAAUGCAGUAAUGGCGAGAGCAAGGGGAUUAGAAUCAAUUCAUGAUUCUUUUUGUGCAAAGGCUCAAGCUUGCCUUAAGCUCUAACGGCCAUCUCAGCUCAAGGUAUGACGAGAAUUCAGUUGGAAAGCGAUUCUUCAAACCUAUUCACCGCUUUGGAGUCAAGGGUUUGAUCAAUACGUUGCUUAUGGAGGCACGUCAAUUUAUUCAACUAGAUUUUGUGUCUGUUGAAAUUUCUUUUACCCCACGAUCUUCUAAUCUGUGUGCAGAUGAAUUAGCUCAUUCUAGUCUGAGUUGGGAUCCGGAUCAGUCAUGUGUUUGACUUGAUCCCCCGGAUUUUCUAAAGUUUUUAGCAGUUCGUGAUUGUACUGAACCUCGGACAGAUGAAUAAAUAAAGAGAGAAUUUCUUAUUUGACACUAGAAAAAGUAUUCCUUCCUUUCAUGGCCCUCAGAAAAUUUUCGUUCCCUAUUUGAUACCGAGUUCAACUUUCAUUCCUUAUAUAACACUCUGUUGGAUUUUCCAUCCGUGAACCGUUAAAUGCCCUGUGAAAAGACGACCUGUGAGCCCUACCACCCUUCUCCCUCCUUUCCUCUCCUUCUCCCUCUGCUCUACACCGGCUUGCCGGCUGUCGUGCCCCCGCGGGAGGUCGAGCCCCGUCAGCCACCAGGCCCCUUGGGAGGCCGCGCGCCGCCGGCCGCCGUGCCCCGCGGGAGGCUAAGCCCUGCACUGCGCCUUGUGCACGCGCUUCUAGUCCAGCGCCUGGCACGCGUGGGACCAGUAGUUGGCGGCGCCGCACACAGAGCACCGCUGGAACUCGUGCCGCCAGGUGUCGCGCCGCCCGCACCGGACGUGCGAGCAUAGCCGGAGCUUCGCGCCGUCGCCCGUGCCAGCGCCAGGCUUCUUCGCGGCCGCCACCUGGGCACCGUGGGAGGCCCACCAGUUGACCAUGAACUGGUUCGCCACGUGGGGCUCCGCCUCAGGGAUGCUCCAACCGAAGUCCAAGAGGAGCGAGCAGCUGCCGGCGCCCACGGCCGUUGCUGCCGCGGCACCGAGCAGGACCGUGGCGGUGAAGGGGUGGCGCGAUGCGGCGGCCACAGCAAGCGCGAGCGCUGGCGGCCACCAGGAGGCGUCGGCCCUCGGCGGGGUCGCGCCGCACUUCGUAGUCAUCCUGGAAGCGCGCGCACAAGGCGCAGUGCGGGGCUCAGCCUCUCGCGGGGCACGACGGCCUCCCAAAGGGCCCGGUGGCUGACGGGGCUCGACCUCCCGUGGGGGCACGGCAGCCGGCAGGCCGGUGUGGAGCAGAGGGAGAAAGAGAGUUGAGGAGGGCGAAGGGUGGUGGGGCUCACAGGAGCAAAAUCGUCUUAACGGUUUAUGGAUGGAAAAUCCAUCAGUAUUAUAUGAGGAAUGAAAGUUGAACUCGGUGUCAGCUAGGGAAAAAAAAUUUAGAGCCACGAAACAGGUAAUUUUUCUAGUCUUUCUCUCGUAAAUAAAAAAAUAUUUUCAGAAAAAAAAACACAGUCCAUUGCAUUCAGCAACCCGUACAGUUUCCUAUCCUAUCACUACAAGCAAUCAAUCCAUCUCUCAAAAAAAAAAAGCAAUCAAUCCUCCUCCGACGAGGACGUCGACGAAGACGAGAAGGACGACGAGGACGAGGAGACCGAGAGCGACCUCCGGUAGCGAUAGCGGUAGCGGUGGUACAGCGCCGCGUCGGGCGCCCGCGCCACCCACCCGCCGCCGCGGCCGGACCCCGGCACGUAGUACUCCGGCAGCGGCAGGCAGAAGAAGGCGAAGAGGGAGUCCCCCAGGCGCCCGAGCUCCCGCGCGGGCGGCACGAGCAGCGCGCGCAGGACCUCGUCCGCGCGCACCCGGCGACGCCCCGGGGGCUGGCACAGCUCCGCCGGCGCGCGCGCCGCCGCUGCCAGGAGCGCGGCGCUGAACACCAUGAACCCCUUUGGUUCUGUCCCUCGCGCCCCCGGCUGGUCGGAUGUUUCGGAUUGGUUUUUUCCGUCGCGUUGUCGCGUGUGGUGUGUGAUUUGGGCGCGGGUUUUUAUUAAUUUUGGUGGCGUGGAGUGCGCGGGUGGAACCGUGGAAGGAAGCGCGCGGGAAGUUUUUACGGCCGCGGCCGUGGGGGGUGCCGUGCGGCGAGGAAACACAAGGGCCAGGACCCAGGACUCCAGGAGCCCUACCGGUCGUCGCUCCCGCCGCCGCGCGGGCUGGCCGCUUUGGUCGUUUUCCCGUGCGACGUGUGCAGCGCCUCCCAAAUUGUAAGUUAUUUUAAUUUUUUAAUUCAAAAUAUCUUAAGUUUGAUCAAAUUUAUAUAAUAAAAUACUAAUAUUUAUGAUACCAAGUAAGUACUAUUUAAUUCUUCAUUAAAUAUAUUUUCAUAGUAUAUCUGUUCGGUACCAUAAAUUUGUAUAAUUCUCUCUAUACUUUUGAUCAAGCAUAAAAUAGUUUGAACCUCCAAGAAAUUUAGAAUGACCUGCAAUUUGGAACGGAGGAACAAUUUAGAAUGGAGCGACAAUUUAAAAUGGAGGGAGUAGCAUGUGACAGACGGUAAAUUUGUAUAAUUCUCUUUAUACUUUUGAUCAAGCAUAAAAUAGUUUGAACCUCCAAGAAAUUUAGAAUGAUCUGCAAUUUGAAACGGAGGAACAAUUUAGAAUGGAGGAAGUAGCAUGUGACAGACGGCAGAAUGGAGUCCUGGCAGCCUGCCACAUACAACACGCGGAUGUUUCAGUUUCAUCGUGCAGAUACUGAAAUCCUCGCACGGUGUCCAGCUCGGCACUGCAGAACACCGAGUAUCGGAAGAUAACUUCUCUUAGCAUUAGUUGCACCUUCCCCGACAAUAAUUGCCACAUCCAUACUACCCAAGUGGCUAUCAGCAUUGCAUUACACGUAAACUACUCAAGUCAAAAGAGAUUAGGAACAAUAUAGGCUCAUCUGAAUGCCAUUGCACAGAACUAGUGCCAGAGGAAGUAAUCAAAAGAGAUUAGGAACAAUCUAGGCUCAUCUGAAUGCCAUUGCACAGAAUGACAGAACUUGUGCCAGAGGGAAGUAACGAAAGAAAAUAAGAUGGCAUUGGAAUCAAUCUACAUAAGACAUAACUAUGGGAACACCACUGCCAGCGCCUUUGACUUAUUCUGUGCUAGCCUUAUAUAAAUCUUCCCCAAAGAUUGCUUCACGGAUUCAGCUACUCGUGCAGGAAGCCUUUCUCCUCAAGGUAAGUAACCACCUGCCCCGCCAUGUCACAAAGUGGGGGGCAUACACCGUCCACUUCCUUGAUCUCAAUCUGCAAGAAAACCAAGAAAGUCAAACAAUUGUAGUUGUUGACCACAAACAAACAAUAGGAACUUGAUGUCAACAUAGAAAAGAAUCAAAUCUGGUUUCCUUCUAAUACCAGGAUGAACAAUUUUUCAAUUUGAUGCUUCUAGAACACCUUAUAGUAAAAAUCAUUUUUAUGCUUUCGACUUGUGUUGGGGAGUAGACACGAUAAUAACCUUAACAUCUAACAUUUCCUAGACACAACUGUCCUAUAAUAACAAACUACAUAGCCCGUUGCACCUACACAGUUGAUUUAUUUUGCAUAAAAGGAAAUGAUGAACAUGCACUUCUCUUCCUAAUCCAAUCAAUUUCCUAUGACAUUCAAUCUUCAUAGUUUCAGUAAGGCAACCAAUUUGAUAUGGACCAGAAGGAACAACUACAUUAAUGCCUUAAUAAUACACACUUCAACAUGUGAAGAAUGGCAAGAAAUCUGAACCAUUGUGUACCUCGCAAUUCAGGGGAGCUUCGUAGGGGUCAUCGAUUCCAGUAAAACCUGCAGUAAACCAUGAUUAAGCAAUAACAAACUCUAUACGAGUUAACAAAACAGGUUAAAUAGAAUGUCAUGAAGACAGUUGACAUAAUAAAUGGUGAACUAGAACCAGCAAAAUAAAGAUAAGUCUGCACAUAAACAAAGUUGCAGUGAAAACAUAGAUUCUUAAGCUUACAGAAGACAAGGCUUACUCAUUUUCCUUUUUUUUCCAUUUCUCAACUAGAGAACUCCUCCUAAACUUACAAAUGGACAUAUAGACACCUGAAAAGAAAACCUUUAGAGGCUGGGGCCCUAGCAUGCCCUGACGGUUGACCUAUAACUCCACGGUCCAGGUCAGGGACUAGAAUCCACUCCCAAAAUAAAACAGCUCAACUGAUUUUGGUUCAGCAUUUAGAAAUACGCAACAUGACCCAUGUGCAGCCAAAUGUGAAAUAACAGCAUAGUGGUAGAAUAUAACCUAAAAAGAAUGCUUAAACACAUGCUAGGUGUACCAUCGCUACACAGUGUGACCAAGGAAUCAAAUGGAAGAAUCUAAACACUGUAGAUGGUAAAAUAAAAUAUCCAUCCUCGCAGUAUAUGCAACAUCUAAAUUUGUGCUUUGUUGUGAAAUCAUAUUGUUAUUAAGGUGCUGCUUUCUCAAAACAAGCAUAAUUUGACUCGAGUAGUAUUUUUAAUUCUUCAAAUCAGGCUGUGCUUCUAACCUUACAAACAAGCCAGAAAUGUGAUUUAUAAUGUAAAGCAUUAAGUAUGAUCAAAUUUUGCUCAGCAGGACAUGCUAAAUUGAAGCAUUAAACUCUCCAAAUUAUUUCCAUUCUGGACACCAAGCAUUAUAUGAACCUCACCCUUUAUUUUUCCUGCACGAGCAAGCUUAUAAAGACCCUUUGAAUCCCUUGCUUCACACAAUUCCAAGGACAUGUUCAAGAAAACCUGCAAAAGUUCACAGGUGUUUGGUGGUAAAACUCAUGGGAUAGCUAAGUUCACUAAAGACAAAACAAAUAAAAUGGAUCCCUUACUUCCACAAAGCUACCAUCAGACAACAAAGCACGGCAAGCUUCACGGUCUCUCCUAUACGGAGAUAUCAAACUUGCAAUACAUACAAGGCCCGCAUCUGCAAAUAACUUUGCCACUUCACCUGUCCAAAAUAGUUGAAACUGUCAAUUACACAAGGCUAGAAAGUAUUAAAUAAUGGCACAAGAAGGACUCUGUUCACCAUUGUUUCCUCAUGGGAGUUUCAUUAAGUUCAAUGCAAACAUUUCUGUGUUCAGGAGACACUUACCAACUCUCCUUAUAUUUUCAGCACGAUCUUCAGCUUUAAAGCCAAGAUCCUUGUUUAGUCCAUGUCUUAAGUUAUCACCAUCAAGAACGUAUGCAAGCUUCCCUCUUGUAUGGAGCUCUCGGCCUAAUGUACAUGCCAAGGUACUUUUACCUUGACAAAGGUAAUGCAGAAAAAAAAACAAAAUUAGAUUAAAAAUACAGGACGCCAUUUUUUUAAAAAAAGGCAAAGUUUCAAUUGAAAAAAAAUAGUGAUUAUUGGAAAUCUAUCAUUUACAAGUUGUCAUUCUUCGUAAGAACAGAAAUAGUUUCUGAUAUAGUGCCCAUUUGUUAAUCUAAGUCCAGAAGAUAGUGUGAACAGAAAAUAGGAUAAUAUCAGCAAACAUAAUGGAUGUCCACCAUACAAAUAGUAAAAUUUUACAUUACAGUGCUAUUUGAAACAUUGUAGGUUUGCCGUUUAACAACCUUGAAGAUAUUUGGUCAAAUGCAUGGCAACUAAAGAAAGGUCAUGAGCAAUUUGUCCAAGCCAAAAUACAUGGUCAUUUUUAAUUACAACAAUAACAACUUGACCAUCUAUCCAGUCAAAACAGGUUGACCAUCUAGAUUUGAGAACAGAGCUGAGAGCUGAACUAAAUUUCCAUAAAACUAGCAAUUCUUGACCAGAUUUUUACUAGCAUAGAAUGCACAGAAGCAAGAGAGAAAAGGUUCAAAAAUUACCUAAGAGGCAAUAACAGUGUGAUCCGUUCAAUUACUUAAAAACCAUGAAGGCAUCAGGAAUUUUACUCUAAAGUCUACAAUGAAACCAAGAGUGGUUACAGCUUUUGGCCUAAACUGAUUUUAAUAGAAUCCGAUGAUAUAUAAAACAGUUCAUGUGAUAGUACAGAAAUCUAAGUCCAUGCAGGCGACAGUAUACAGCAACAAAGCCCAACAAGAGACAAACAAAGAGGACAUAAUAAUAUAUAAUGUAGGAACUAGGAAGAGUCACUGACUGCAGUUGAUAUUAUCCACACUUCAAGAAUUUAAAGAUUGAUUGACAAAGCAAGAAGCAGACAACAAACCAGAUUGAGAGAAAGGGAGCCUUAGUUACCUGAACCACUAAGGCCUGUAAUCCAGACAACACAACCUUUCUGCUUGAGUAGCUUCUGACGAUCAGCCUUGCCAACUGCGCAAUCAUGCCAGAAGAUAUUUGAUGACUUUGGCACAGUGGAUGACAUUUUUGAAGCUUUCUCCUCAACUACUGUGUACAAAUACAAUCAUUUAGACAACAAGAAAGGCUCCAAUUCUUUUCAAGCAAAUUAAAAAACAUGCAAUCUGAUUACCAGCGAAAUUACUAUAUUCUUUUCUUAAUUAGUAGAAGCUCUUUAUUGCGUGUUUCAUAAACAAUUACAGAAUUGGUUGCCACUGAGCAUUUUUGUACAAAUCAAUCGUGCUGUUCUUUCGAAUUCCUGAGUCAAAAAUUGCAAUAGUAAAUAGGACGCAUGGGGGAUCAUGUUGGUUAUAAGCUGGACAAACCCUAAACAAAUUGCAACAGUGUGGCUGACCACCUAUCCUCACUCCCGUCGCAUUUGAAUUGUCUUAAACCCCCUGUCCUUCUCUUCCUAUAGACUUGACUCACCCACCUCAAUCCCCACUCAGCCCCUCACCUCCCCUCACCGCCUCACUGUCACCCUUUAGCUCUGCUACUGAAUCCCUUUCGGACUUCUCUACCAAGCUAGCGGCCUGGAGACCACGGCAGCGAUAGACCACCUCCUCGGUCCUCACAGCCGCGUAAAAAUGUCCGCCACAGUCGCGCUCGAGAUAGAGGCCGAUACCGGAAAGACGCCUUUCGGCCCCAACUCGAAACGAUCAAGUGUAAAAAAAAAUCGCGGGAAGAAAAGGAAAUAUGAUCAUGGGUUCUACUAGUCCGUCGAAAUGGAACAAAAUCUGGAAUUUCGCCUAAUUCACACGCACCCGAGUCCCCCGAUCGGGCGAGUGGCGCCCACAUUGGAUCGAAACAGCGAAGAGGAAACAGGGGAGGAGAGGCGGCUACGUGCCUAGACUGACCUCCUGCGUGCUCCUGAAUCGAUCGGUCGCCGGUGCAUUCGACGAGGGGGCGUCUGUCGAAGCCUCCGUCGCCUGUUACCCUCGUCCCAGUCCCGGCGGCUUGGGACCUCGGAAGGCGGGGGCGGGGCGGAGGCAACCCUAGAUUCGCGACGGGGCUCUGGUUCCGGUGCGCGGCCGCGAGGCGCGAGCAGCGGCCAGGGGAGGGAAAGGUACACCCACCAGGCCACCACCGCUGGAAUUGGCACGCGGAUCGCGAGGGCACCACCACCACCCCGCGCGCCGCGGUGCGGUGGAGGAGGCUGCUAACGGGAGGCGGGCCGGGUGGGCGCGCCGCGAGGCGUGCCGCUCGUGGGGCGUCCAUGGGGCGGUGGUGGGGCUCAGUGGCUGACUGACUGACUGGUGGCGCCGGCGUGUCCUCAAAAGAAAGGGGCCUUUUGUUGCUGACGCCGUGGCCACGUAGGCUCCAAGGCCCGCCCGCACUAUUUUUUCGGCUCAGUUCGGCAAAUUUCAGAUAUUGAUUUUUCAAUUGCUGUAUUGAUCCAAUAUCAAACCAAAGAGCUAUUGCAGUAUCAUUAAAAAGCGUUGAUAAAACCAAGUAAGUGUAAAGUAUUUUAGGCAGAAAUAUUUUGAAAAAUAUUUUUCCAACCUUCUCUUUCCUGUAUACCUGCAAACUUUAGUGCAAAUGCAACUUCGGAAUGCACAAUAUCAAUAGCAUCUCUGAAAUUUUAUCACUCGCAUGGCACUUUGAAUUGUGGACUUGUUAUCUCAGUCUCAGCCCAUUCAGGAGGCAUAGGCAUUUUUUUAAGCAACGAUGAUGGAACGUACUAAUAAAACAAUUAGUACAUAGCAAUACUAAAUUAUGAUGCAGUCCUAGGAUCUUUUGGAUAGUCCAGGUAGCUCCAGCACAAAUUGAAUCAGCCGACCAUCUUGCCACCACCAUUAUGCUAGCGCUUGGCCAUCACAAUAUCUCUACAAAUAUCACUUUGGUCCUAGAAACAGUAUGAAAAUCACCGUAUCCUAAUUCCAAAUCUGUAAAUAAUGGUUUUAUCCAAAACAAUGAAAAUUUGGUACUUGAGGACCUAUUUGGUAUGCUGCUCCACUCUAAAACUCCAGGUGGAGACAGCUUCACUCCAUAAUUCCAAAACUAAAAUGGGAUGUUUAACUAGAUGGGUGCCUCCAGCUCCAAAAGGAGGGUCUUUUUGGAUGGAUUGUCGCUGUUACCCCAAUCCAUGACCCCACUUGUCAUUCGGUCACACAUUAUCUUUUCUUCGGGACGCUCGCCGUCGCGGCGUUGCUCGUGCUCGUCUCCUUCGACGCGUGCGCGUGGCAGAGCCGUCUACUCCGCGUCCUCGACCUUAGCUCGUUGCUCCAUGGCCCCCACCUCCUGCUCACCUUCUUCACGGGGCUCCUACCACCGCCGCCGAGGCGCUCCGCCUCCCGUUCUUUGGCCGAGCCGCCAUGCUCCCGCCGCGCCACCGCACCAUGCUAUGCCUCGCGUACCCGCUUGUCGCGUAUGGCAUCGUCGAGCCGGGGAUGCUCGCCACGCCGGCCGCCGUCGUGGCGUACCCGGGCCACCUCGCGCACGCCGCGGAUGGCCUCGUUGGAUAGGGGCAGCGGCCGGCCGGCGGCGCGCCCGACGGGGCCCACGAGGGAGCUCGCGCAGCCGGGAGGGGCUCCGGCGGCCGGCGGGGCUCGAAUUGACGACGGCAGGGAGGGGCUAGGCGGCCAGGAGGGGGCAGGCGACCGGUGGCGGGGAGCAGUCGCGCGUGAAGGCAGGCGCAAAACAGAGCAGUCACGUGUGAAGGAAAUAGGCGGGGGGUCUGGUGGAAUAGAAUCGAACUUUUUCUCUGUAACCAGUGGCAUUGGUAGGUAAUUACCCACCAACUCCACGAGGAGGUUGAAAAGAGGGGGUUUUGGAGCUGCAAAAGAGGUGCUCCAAAACUCCACCCCAAUUUGCACCACAGUUUCAUGAAGUUGUCAGCUUCAUGGAAUUUUGGAGCUGGGGUGUUUGGCUGGAACUUUUGGGGGAGUUCUAGAGUGGAACCAUGCCAAACAGGCCAUUAAGAUCCACUUAAUACCUCAUUUGCGAAGAAAGUCAAAUGUCAGUUGUCCGAACUCCGAAGGAAAAGCCUAGUGUCUUCGAUAAAUCCAUAAUAUCGAGAGAGUGAAUUUCAAGAAAUGAAUCCAGUAGAAAACUUGGGUGUAGGUGGAAUGAUGGUUUUAUAAAUAUGUAUAUAUAUUGUUUUAUANNNNNNNNNNNNNNNNNNNNNNNNNNNNNNNNNNNNNNNNNNNNNNNNNNNNNNNNNNNNNNNNNNNNNNNNNNNNNNNNNNNNNNNNNNNNNNNNNNNNGACUCUUGACACGUUGCAAAUGUUGAAUGUUCAAACUUUACCCAAAAUCAUAUCAUGUCACAGCAGGUUCCAAUAAUAAACUCUCCAAUACUUCAAAACUGACCAUGUCAACACGUAUGGGCCCAUACCAUCAGCUUUCCCCCUCGUAAUUUCUUUUGCGUCGGUCAUGAAUACGUAUGAGUGCCUUGACCGAUCGUCCUUAUCCUGACUUUUUCCAGCCAUGGGAUGUUGUAUCCUGCCGACUGCCACGUAGCUUCCUCCAUCUCCUAGCGCUGCUACUAGAUUGCUGCCUCGUCGCCGCCGCUGCCUAGCCGCUACGCCGCCACGCUAGGGACUAGCGCAUCGGAAGCCCGCCAUCCCCAUGACUCCUCGCUCGUGCGCCGCUCGAGCGCCUUGCUCAUGCUGGCAUCGUUGCCCGACCCCGCCCUGAAGGCUGCUCCGGAGGCAGCCAAGGUGGAAGGGUGGCGGCGUGCGGCCGAGCCUCGCCAAGCGGCUGCUGCUGGGGAGCCUCCUGGAGGACACGCUCACCGCGGCGCUCGCCGACGCGAUCCCCAACUGCCUUCCCAUCACCAUGAGCCCCUACCACCUACUCCCCGGCACCGUCGCGCCAGCCGCCGAAGACCCCACGGCUGCCUCGGCUUGCUCGCUCACCGCCCUGCUGGUGCCGUCACGUACGUCAGCUUUGGCACGGUCGUUGCGGCGCCGCCUGAUGAGCUCCGCGAGCUUGCCUACAGGCUCGAGGCCAGCGGCGCUCCCUUCCUGUGGUCGCUGCAUGAGGACAUGUGGCCGCUGCUCCCGCCGGGUUCCUGGACUGUGUCAAGGCGACCAAUAACUCCGGCCGAAUCCUCGUGCCGUGGGCGCCGUAGGGCGCCGUGCUGCGGCACCCAUCGGUGGGCACGUUCGUCACGCACUCUGGCUGGGGAUCCAUCGUCGAGGGGAUGUCCGGCGGCAUGCCCAUGCCGAUGAUGGCCUGUCGCACUACCGCCCCUUCUUCGGGGACCAGCAGAUGAACGCGCGUGAUGUGGUGCAGGAAAGGAGUGCGGUGGGCGAUUGGGGGAGGAGAGACCGCACGCAAAUAAGCGGGGUGACGGGAUUGCGAUUGGGGUGGGCGAAAAUAUGCGGACGGUUUGGGUGAGCUGUUGGAGCGCAGUUUUUUUUCUCCCAAAUUAAGUUAUUAGGGGUAGUUUAGAGUGACUUUUGGAGUUGCUCUUAGUCACCAAGUAACGGCUGAGAAAAAAAUUUCCUGCUCCUUGACAAAUCUCACAGGACAGCCUGCAAAUAUGUGUAAACAAAGAAAUAGUCGCAUGACUAUUUCAUAUUUAAAAAAUGACAUAUUUGUGUUGUUGUUCUUAUUUUCUCUAUCAUUUCAACACUGGCAACGAAAUAGCCAUUUCUCUGCAACAAUAUUCCCAUGACCAAAAUAAUUUACAAACACCCCCAACGAGAAACCUUAUAUAGUAGUUGACAACAACAUCACAGUGAUGCUUUUGGGAUGGCUGAAAAAGUUAAUGCUUACAAUGCCGGUAUGAGAGGAACAAAGUGAGGAACAUAAUUGAUCAAGACACACCUGCAAGUAAUCGGUGCGUGCCAAUCUGAAGUUGAUGGACCAAGUUCUUGUGGUGCAAGCAUGUCAGCUCCUGCAUUAGUACAAAAGUCUAAAUUAGUGUAAGACAUCGGAUAUUACAUGAGAGGUUCACAAAAUCACAAGGACAGAGGCAUCAUGCGAAGAACUUCAAGACAAUUAUCGUGUAGUAGUUUCCAUUUUUCUAGAUAUCUGAGUAUAGCUUCCUACCUAAGUUGUUUGCAAAUCUAAUUCAUGAAAUGGAAAUUAACUAAAGAUCCUAUAUUCUCAAAAUACAACUGCCAUUGAUUUGUUAUUACUUUAUAAAAACCACAUAAUAUAUCAAUAUCGAGAAAGUAAAUGAUCGACUUGACGAUUUUUGAUAGAAAUCAUCAUCUAUAUAAACUGGAUCGGGGAUGCACACAUGAUUUCAGAAAGUUGCUACUUAAUAAAAUUGCUAGAAGCUUUGGCUUGCAGUGUCAAAAUAUCAUAGUUAGAGAUAUGCACCUUUCUUCUUCUCACACCAAUCAUUGUCUCAACAUCACAACAGGUGUGUUCAAGUAAUCCAAUUAUAUGGAGAUUUCCAUGAUUUUGUUACUAUUGGCAUGCACAAAAUUGCUCUGUGUAUGUAAACACUAUGCUGAUGUACAAAUUAGCAGCGCAACAAUACUCCUCCAUAUAAAUCCAUACUCUCUGUUAGUUUUCAGCUACAGCUAUAGAUUAUCUAGAAUUGUCAAGGAGAAGCAAAACAAAAUGGAAUUUUAUGGCACAGUUAUAAACUAAUGCGGAGUAACUAAAGAUCAAGCUAAGCCACACUGGGUAAAUUUAGGAAUGAGCUACAAAAAGGAUGUCUUACAAACUGGGAAGACCAUGGGUCAAAACACAUCGAUGCCUCACCAUCCCAUGUACAAUUUUCUCUGAUAUCCAUUUUCUCGUAGUUCACUGACUCGAUUCUCAGUGCCUAUAGCGGUUCUCUCUCCACCGCUAACUUGCAAAUAAAAAAACAUUAUCAUAACCCAUAUAGCUUUCACAUAAAAAAAUCAAGUAAGCUAGCUAAUGUUAUUAAGGAAGUUCUGAUCGGUACAAUAAGAACUUUGGAUUGCUGCACAUGAAUGGCAUAAAAGGAGUUGAUGUUGUCAAUCAUUCUAAGCUGAUCUAGGGCCCAGGCUGGCAAGCUGGGGGUGCUGCAGCACGGGUCUAGCUCAUGUAUUUGCCUACUAUAUAUAUGCUGUUGUGCGGCCUAUUCAGCUGGUUCUUAACUCUCUCUUGCAUACAGAGGAACAGAUUGUGGUUUAGCCCGAGGUCUAGCACAUUUCUGGGACCGCCCCUGGGCAUAUAUGCUAUGACAAAGAGCUCUAAGAUACCUGUAAUCUCAUUUUAGGACUAGCAAUUAUGCAAUGCUUCUUAUCCUGGAAAUAAACACCAAAUAUGUGUAAAAUGCAUGAUGCUGACAGAAUCCUAAAGUUUCAUGCUAACAUAUGGUUAAAUGCAGAUAAAUGAUUCAGAGUUUUUGCCUUCUCGAUAUAAAGAAUGCAAAUACAUCACUUUUUUUUGUUUUUUCAAUUGUGUUUUCUUGAAAGGAAAGUUACUUCCUGUUAGCUAUGCAUAUAUCUGUUCCAUGCAUAUAGCUUGCAGUUCUUCAUUGAUUAAAGAACUGUUUGGUGAACUUUUGACCCUACAAAGCCUUGUACUUUGAGAUGAUGUUUGCAGAAUAAGUAGCCCAGAGGAAAAUAAAACAAGAAAAGAUAAUACUUGUAAAUGUUGUGAUUGUAAAUCUAAAUGUUUGCUUUAUCAACAAAGAAAGCAGAGGCGGCUCUAGAGGGGGGCUGCUAGUUUGUGGAUUAGUGAUAAGAAUAUUCUGCUAGGACUUGUGGUUUUCAUUUUUAUUUAAUCACAAAAUAAAAUAAAGUUUGUUUUUAUUUGUUUGCAGACGCGUCAAACACAUAAACCUUUUUGGAUCCUGAAGAAAUUACAUCAAGGAGCAUACCAUUCACAAGAGACGUAAAGGUAAAUACGGCAGUUUGUAUAUUUCAGUAGAUGGGAAGGCGUGUCUAACUUUAUUAAUUAUGUUUGCAAUAUAAUAUACUUAAAAUUCAAUUUUUUUGGUUUACUGCUAUAAAAUUUUGGAAUUGGCCAAAAACAUUAUGCAAAAGGAACAAGGAUCAUAGAUCUGACUCCUGUAAUUCUUUUCAAUACUUUUUGGUUUUCGUGACGCACAGGGUGGAAGAAAAGCCUAUCUUUUGUUAGCCAAGAAACUGGAUGCGAUACUUUGUAUAUAGACUACUUCUUCCUUUCCCAGCAUUUGCUCCCUGACUUAAGACAUGGAUAGUCGUUACAAUACUUGUGUAUAGGGUGGUUGUACUUCUUGCACCAAUGCAUUCCGAGUUACGGGCUGUUAGUAUCAUUCCUACAUAUGUGGUCAUGUGGAGUAUGUAGGCUCAAGAAACAGAAAGUGGAUUUUUGCCCUUGUUCCUGAAAACCUGGAUACCGUAAAGCAUCCAAG
rnacentral:lncRNA from 1 species